GACGAACCGAGCGAACGUUGUUCGGAAUCACUGGGCUUAAAGGGCGCGUAGGCGGGCCGCCAAGUCCGUGGUGAAAUCCCCCAGCUCAACCGGGGAAGUGCCUCGGAUACUGGCGGCCUCGAGGGGGGUAGGGGCGUGCGGAACUUCCGGUGGAGCGGUGAAAUGCGUAGAUAUCGGAAGGAACACCGGUGGCGAAAGCGGCGCGCUGGACCCCAUCUGACGCUGAGGCGCGAAAGCCAGGGGAGCGAACGGG
rnacentral:rRNA from 1 species